rnacentral:rRNA from 1 species
UGGGGAAUUUUGGACAAUGGGCGAAAGCCUGAUCCAGCAAUGCCGCGUGUGUGAAGAAGGCCUUCGGGUUGUAAAGCACUUUUGUCCGGAAAGAAAUCCUUGGCUCUAAUACAGUCGGGGGAUGACGGUACCGGAAGAAUAAGCACCGGCUAACUACGUGCCAGCAGCCGCGGUAAUACGUAGGGUGCAAGCGUUAAUCGGAAUUACUGGGCGUAAAGCGUGCGCAGGCGGUUUGCUAAGACCGAUGUGAAAUCCCCGGGCUCAACCUGGGAACUGCAUUGGUGACUGGCAGGCUAGAGUAUGCAGAGGGGGGUAGAAUUCCACGUGUAGCAGUGAAAAUGCUAGAGAUGUGGAGGAAUACCGAUGGCGAAGGCAGCCCCCUGGGCCAAUACUGACGCUCAUGCACGAAAGCGUGGGGAGCAAAACAGGAUUAGAUACCCUGGUAGUCCAGCGCCCUAAACGAUGUCAACUAGUUG